GGCUCAGAUUGACCGUUGCUGGCGGGAUGCUUUACACAUGCAAGAACGGCAGCACGGACUUCGGCCUGGUGGCGAGUGGCGAACGGGUGAGUAAUGUAUCGGAACGUGCCUAGUAGUGGGGGAUAACUACGCGAAAGCGUAUUACUACCGCAUACGCCACCCUUCGGGGAAAGCGGGGACCUUCGGGCCUCGCACUAUUAGAGCGGCCGAUAUCGGAUUAGCUUAGUUAGGGUAACGUCUCACCAAGGCGACGAUCCGUAGCUGGUUUGAGAUAUUAACGUAGCCACACUGGGACUGAGACACGGCCCAGACUCCUACGGAGGCAGCAGUGGGGAAUUUUGGACAAUGGGGGAAACCCCGAUCCAGCCAUCCCGCGUGUGCGAUGAAGGCCUUCGCUACAAAGCACUUUGGCAGGAAAGAAACGGCACGGGAUAAUACCCCGUGCAACUGACGGCACUGUAGAAUACUGGGCACCGGCUUAACGGCGCGCCAGCAGCUGAGGUGGCUGAAAAAAGCGUUAAGACCGGAACUACGGGCGUGCUGCAGGUGUCUGGAAAGAGCAUGAAACCCAGAGCUUAACUUUUGAACCGCAUUUUUAACUACCGAGCCAGAGUGUGUCAGAGGGAGGUAGAAUUCCGCGUGUAGCAGUGAAAUGCGUAGAUAUGCGGAGGAACACCGAUGGCGAAGGCAGCCUCCUGGGAUAGCACUGACGCUCAUGCACGAAAGCGUGGGGAGCAAACAGGAUUAGAUACCCUGGUAGUCCACGCCCUAAACGAUGUCAACUAGCUGCUGGGGCCUUCGGGCCUUGCAGCGUUAACGGUGAAGUUGACCGCCUUGGGAGUACGGUCGCAAGAUUAAAACUCAAAGGAAUUGACGGGGACCCGCACACAAGCGGUGGAUGAUGUGGAUUAAUUCGAUGCAACGCGAAAAACCUUACCUACCCUUGACAUGUCUGAAUCCCGAAGAUUUGGGGAGUGCUCGCAAGAGAACCGAACACAGGUGCUGCAUGGCUGUCGUCAGCUCGUGUCGAGAUGUUGGGUUAAGUCCUGCAACGAGCGCAACCCUGUCAUUAGUUGCUACGAAAGGGCACUCCCCAUCGAGACUGCCGGUGACAAACCGGAGGAAGGUGGGGAUGACGUCAAGUCCUUCAUGGCCCUUAUGGGUAGGGCUUCACACGUCAUACAAUGGUCGGGACAGAGGGUCGCCAACCCGCGAGGGGGAGCUAACCGGAACCCGAUCGUAGUCCGAUCGCAGUCUGCAACUCGACUGCGUGAAGUCGGAAUCGCUAGUAAUCGCGGAUCAGCAUGUCGCGGUGAAUACGUUCCCGGGUUUGUACACACCGCCCGUCACACCAUGGGAGGGUUUUACCAGAAGUAGUUAGCCUAACCGUAAGGAGGGCGAUUACCACGGUAGAUUCAUGAUUUGGGUGGUUUGGAACACGGGUAA
rnacentral:rRNA from 1 species